rnacentral:rRNA from 1 species
GACGAACGCUGGCGGCGUGCUUAACACAUGCAAGUCGAACGGUAAGGCCCUUCGGGGUACACGAGUGGCGAACGGGUGAGUAACACGUGGGUGAUCUGCCCUGCACUUCGGGAUAAGCCUGGGAAACUGGGUCUAAUACCGGAUAGGACCACUGCCUGCAUGGGUGGUGGUGGAAAGCUUUUGCGGUGUGGGAUGGGCCCGCGGCCUAUCAGCUUGUUGGUGGGGUGAUGGCCUACCAAGGCGACGACGGGUAGCCGGCCUGAGAGGGUGACCGGCCACACUGGGACUGAGAUACGGCCCAGACUGCUACGGUAGGCAGCAGUGGGGAAUAUUGCACAAUGGGCGCAAGCCUGAUUCAGCGACGCCGCGUGAGGGAUGACGGCCUUCGGGUUGUAAACCUCUUUCAGCACCGACGAAGCGCAAGUGACGGUAGGUGCAGAAGAAGGACCGGCCAACUACGUGCCAGCCGCCGCGGUAA